GACUAAUGUUACGAUUUUCGGUACAAGCUAUACUGAGCUGAUUAUUAUAAGGGAAAGUGUUGUCUGUCGUAUUCACUUGGAUACGGUUGAACCAUGUAAACAAUACUCUUUGUGUGUAAAAUUUGGGAUAUUUUCUGUGUUUGAAGAGUUCUCGCUGUGCGCUGGUCGGCCAUCUUGAAAAAUAAAUUGUGAAGGUCGUAUUUCCAGCUUUCCUGCGAGACGGCAGUUCAGAUGCAGUCGUCCUGUGUGUCAGAAAGCUGGUGAUCAAAAUGGUUGAAGGCAGUACCCAAGAAAGUACAUUUACAAGUAAGUAAAA